rnacentral:snoRNA from 1 species
ACCCUCCAGAUACCUUCCCUGUCAGACCGCCACACUGGUCGGAGGGCUGUAAACGGAGGAAAAGCAAAAUCGAAACCAACUUACAGUCUUUGGUGACGCAAGAGCCAGUUUCAAACAAAA